rnacentral:rRNA from 1 species
GAUGAACGCUAGCGGCAGGCCUAAUACAUGCAAGUCGGACGGGAUCUAUCGGAGAGCUUGCUCGAAGAUAGUGAGAGUGGCGCACGGGUGCGUAACGCGUGAGCAACCUACCCAUAUCAGGGGGAUAGCCCGGAGAAAUCCGGAUUAAGACCGCAUAACACUGUGAUUUGGCAUCAUGUUACCGCUAAAUAUUUAUAGGAUAUGGAUGGGCUCGCGUGACAUUAGCUAGUUGGUGAGGUAACGGCUCACCAAGGCCACGAUGUCUAGGCGCUCUGAGAGGAGAAUCCCCCACCAUGGUACUGAGACACGGACCAGACUCCUACGGGAGGCAGCAGUAAGGAAUAUUGGUCAAUGGGCGGAAGCCUGAACCAGCCAUGCCGCGUGCAGGACGACUGCCCUAUGGGUUGUAAACUGCUUUUGUCGAGGAAUAAACCUAUCUACGUGUAGAUAGCUGAACGUACUCGAAGAAUAAGGAUCGGCUAACUCCGUGCCAGCCGCCGCCGUAA